rnacentral:rRNA from 1 species
UAACCNCGGUAAAGAAACAGUAGCUAAUAACCGGAUAACAACAGAUGAUGCCUAUCAACUGUUUAAAAGAUGGUUCUGCUAUCACUCUUGGAUGGACCUGCGGUGCAUUAGCUAGUUGGUAGGGUAACGGCCUACCAAGGCGAUGAUGCAUAGCCGAGUUGAGAGACUGAUCGGCCACAUUGGGACUGAGACACGGCCCAAACUCCUACGGGAGGCAGCAGCA